UUCUGGAAAAUACUUUUAGGUCUAAGAUGCAUAAAUAAGUGAAUUAGAGAGAGAAGCUUAAACUUUCACUGGAUGGUGUUUGUACUGAAUGUUAAUGAGUUUCUCACUGUAGUGGAUUUAUGGUGGAAGAAGCAGCAUCAAUGUUGGCAGUGGAGGAACUAAACUCAUUAUGAAAACUGGUCCGGUGGUGAAGCCCUCCGUGUCUCUGCUCCCUCCCUCCUCUCUGCAGCUCUCUGAAGGAUCGGCCUCGCUGCUCUGCCUGCUCUCGGCCUAUUCUCCACAGGGGGCGCUGCUGAGCUGGACCGUAGACGGUGCCGAGGUGAACGAGGGGGUUCUGACCAGUACAGAAGAACAGAAGAACGGCAUCUACAGCCGCAGCAGCACCCUGACCCUCAGCAAAGAACGCUGGGAAGAGGCCGAGGUGUUCGGCUGUACCGUGUCCCACCACGACACCACUCAGAUCGCCUCGUUCCGAAAGAGCCGCUGUGAAGUCCACUAGAAUUCAAAUGUACACUUUAAAACACGCUUAGCAGUCUGAGGUGGUGUCAGUGGUGUAGCUAUGCUGAAAUAAAGCUUCAAUGUGGAAAGCAUGUCUCCUUUUUCACUAGUGAAGUGUCUUGUGCUGUGCUUGACUGAGUU